GACGUUACCGACAGAAUAAGCACCGGCUAACUCUGUGCCAGCAGCCGCGGUAAUACAGAGGUGCAAGCGUUAAUCGGAAUUACUGGGCGUAAAGCGCGCGUAGGUGGUUUGUUAAGUUGGAUGUGAAAGACCCCGGGCUCAAACCUGGGAACUGCAUACCAAAACUAGGCAAGCUAGAGUACGGUAGAGGGUGGUGGAAUUUCCUGUGUAGCGGUGAAAUGCGUAGAUAUAGGAAGGAACACCAGUGGCGAAGGCGACCACCUGGACUGAUACUGACACUGAGGUGACGAAAGCGUGGGGAGCAAACAGGAUUAGAUACCCUGGUAG
rnacentral:rRNA from 1 species